GCCUUCGUGGUGCAAUGGUCAGCACACUUGGCAGGUAUUCGAGAGGUCCAGGUUAGAGUCUCGACGAAGGCA
rnacentral:tRNA from 1 species